CUUGUCUAGCAAUUGAUAGAUAAAUGUGUUGUAUUUUACCCAACUCUCUCUCUCUCUUUUUCUUGUAAAGCUUUGUUGCCUCACUGGCUUAGCCCAUCUUUUAAAAGAAAAUAAUUUCAUCAGGGCUUGUCACCAAAAUGGACCGUUCCCUUCCUUUGCAGCUCAACGGGGUGAUGGCUAAGCAGUGGAAUUUAAAAAAGAAUGAGAAGAAAAAAGGAACAGCCCCCACAUUUGGCCACAUGUAAUCUGCCUUUGGAAUCUGGAACAGAAGUCGCAUCGAUAUGGUUUCGAAAUAUGUGAAAACUAAUAUGAAAUUCCUUGUUGAUGGUGAAUGUUGGAAGUAAAGCCCAGUACCUGUAAAAUGAGCCCCUGUCUAUCACAUGCUUCAUAUUAAACUUUCAUGCAGUU